rnacentral:lncRNA from 1 species
UUUUUUUUUUUUUUUUUUUUUUUUUUAGUAAAUAUACUUUUUUUCUGGCCAUGCUGGUGGCAUGCAGAAGUUCCCAGGCCAGAGAUCGACCCCCUGCCACAGCAGUCACCAAGCUGGAUCCUUAACCCACUGAGCUACAAGAGGUGUGUUUUUCAAAAACUGGAGGGCCUAAUAUUUUGGAAUUUGUAGGUGGGACCCUGUUCCCAAAACUGGUGUGGCUACUAUGGCUUUGUUUUGGUGAGGCCCAGAUGAGAAGUCGGUGAUGGUCACCUUAUGCCAGCAAUUCACCUGUCGGGUUACAUACUUGCUAAGGCUGAUUCUAGGUCACCUUGUGAAUUCUGAGCUUUUCCUGCCACAACCUCGCCUCCACAUCAGAUUAUCUGUUAGCCACAUAUUAUCAAUUCCUUAAUGGUUCCAAGACUGAGUCACACCUGAUGAUGACAUGGAUCCCCAGGAUUGCCAAAACUUUGCUUAUAGCAAGAUCAUCACCCUUGUUAUUUGAUCCCGGGCAUGGCUAUGUCUGGACAAAUUGUCAGGAAAACUUGGAGUGGAUUUCAGUGUCCUUAGAGAAUUGUACUUUGUCUUGGUUAUUGAUUCUCUCUUCUGUAAAAGGAAAUGAUCAGUGAGGCAAAUAUUAUAAACACAGACAUGACUUCUUACAAUAGGGAAGGAGAGCCAUAAACCUGCACUUUUCACAAGCAGACUUAUUACAUACCAGGUUUUGUAAUAGCACUUGGUUUUCUAAGACUGGACUCAAGAAUGUCAGGGGUUGGGGAGCUCUUGAGGGUUCUCAGAGGGAAGACUGAGUGCAAAAACAUCUGUCUUUUUUCAACCACUCCUUCCAUCCAGUAAAAAGUAUGUAUUUGUUUUUGAACAAAUAUUUAUUGACAAAUUUAGUACUGGCCAUCAAUAUGUGUGGUCAAAAUGAGGAAAAUUUCUUACUAACCUCAAAGAGCUUAUGAUCUAGUAGGAAAAUGAGACAGUAUAUGCUGCUGAAACAAAGAUAGAAUGAGUAAGUGAGGCAGCCCUUUGUGCUUGGAGUGAGACUGCCCCUUCUCAUGCCUUCAGUUAUCUGUGGUUGUGGAUACAGAGGGGAGACCCUGAACACUGCUUCUGGCAAAAUGUUCCUCCCUCCUGAUUUCCAGCAUCUAUUGCUUCCCACUGCAGACUUAUAACCACCAGGACUGACCUGCCAGUCCUCACAAGAAGAUCAGUUAUGAACUUUCUCACUCUAAUCUCCAAAUGGAUCCUCUGUAUAAUCUGUAUUCUGACCGCACCCCACACUCCUCUCCAAUUCCCCAAGCUCUUUCACUCUGUCCUUGGGAACCGAGUCAUGCAUUAGCAAAAUUCUUAUAUCAGUGUACUUUCUGACCAAUCUCUUCAUGUUUUUAUUCUAAUUAAAAUCUGGCUGUCUUGGUGGUUCAGUGGGCUAAGGAACCGACAUUGUCUCUGUGAGGAUAUAGGUUCGAUCCCUGGCCUUACUCAGUGGGUUAAGGAUCCAAUUUUGCCACAAGCUGUGGCUUAGGUCACAGAUAAGUUUGGAUCUGCGUUGCUGUGGCUGUGGCAUAGGCCCCAGCUGUGGCACUGAAUUUGACUCCUGGACCAGGAACUUCCAUAUUCCUCAGGUGCAACCAUAAAAAGAAAAACAAACAACCCCCCACUCCCCCGCCGGCUUUCUUGUAACUUGCUUCCUUGAGAACCCUCUCAAGUGGUUAUUUUCUCUUCCUCAUCUACCACUGGGCUUGGAGGUAGGUUAAGUGUUCCCCUAUAUUCUCCCUUCUGCCUUCAGAUAACUUAUCCCUCUUCUUUAAAACAAUCAGUUCUCAAUAUCAUAUCAUGAGACUAGACUAGUCUUUAUCCCUUGUUCUAAUAAUCUUAUUCUCUCCCUUUCCUCAGCCCUCACUCUGAAGGUGAUACUCUAGACCUUUUCAUUAUCAAAACUUAUCCUUACAAAUAACCUCCCUAAUCUCAAUUUCAAGUGUCCCAUCUUCUAAAAAUAACCCACUUUCCAACUCACUCCCUCUAGUUCUACAACUCUAACAAGUAAUUCUCCAUCGGUACCGUCAAUCCACUAUACUUCCCAAGUGAUCAAUGGCUUUCAUGGUGUAGCCCCUCCUGCUCCUUUUCUAGACUUCUUUCCUAUUGAUCUUUGCCUUGGCCACUCUGUUUCAACUACAGGGGAUUUCUUGCUCUUAUUCCAGGGUGCCUGGUGUCCUCCUGGCUCAGGGCUCUUGCGCUUGCUCUUCCCCUUCCAGAAGAAUCGUUCCUGGUCGCUUGUGAGCCUUGCUCCCUCACCUCCAAGUCCUCUGUCCAGUAUCAGCCAGUGAGGCCUUCGCCGAUCACCCUAUUUACAAUUGUACAUCUUUCCCCAGGACUUUCUAUCACUCUUUNNNNNNNNNNNNCUCUUUCCCGUUUAGGUUUUUAAAAAAAUUUGUUCCAUGUCCUCUUCACCCACUGGCAUGUAAGUUUCAAGAAAUCAGGGAUUUUUGUUUCUUUUGUUCAUUACUGUAUCCGCAGAACCUGGAAGAGAGCUUGGCAUUAAGUAGGCUCUCCCUAAUGGACAUUGAAAGAAUGAAUGAAUGAGCUAUGCAUUAGAGCAAUGUAAGGACAGAAGUUAAUUUAUAUGAGAAAAUGUUGAAAUGUAGAGUCGGAAGAUUUUCUUUUAAAUGUGGGAUGCAGUUGAAACAAUGGGGAGAUCUAGGAGACUUUUGUGGGAGGUUUGGCAUUUCAUCUAGGAUUUGAGGGUUACAGGGCUUUAUAAUGUAAAGAAGAGGCACCAGACAAAGAAACUGAUGUUGUCCAUGGCUUGAACUCAGAAAGUAGGGUGAACUGGGAACAUUAUGGUACAGGGAAAUGAAUAUGUGUUUGCAAUAACUCUGUUUCAUAACUGGAUCUCUUUACUCACUUUUACAAAUGAGAUAUCAAAAUUCCAACUAUAUUAAUCUUUCACAUUCCUAUUUUAGUGCAAUCUCUGGUUAGUCCCUUUCUGAAGGACAAGCUAUAUCUGGAAGUUUCCUGUAAAAUUUGGAAUAUAAAUAUGGUCCUAACAUGGCAGACUUGACCAUCAUUUUGCUCCAUGAAAUCUUUGGAAAUGUACUUGUUUAUUUGAAAAAGUUCUUCUUCAAUGGAUGUUCCUUUUUUAUUUUUAUUUUUAUUUUUUGCCACACUUUUGGCAUGCCAAAAUUUCUGGGCCAGGGUUUGAACCUAUACCACAGAGCAGUGACCCAGGCCACAACAGUGACAAUGCCAGAUCCUUAACCACUAAGCCACCAAGGAACUCCAACUAAGUGGAUGCUAGUUUUUAUCAGGUUUGUCCAUUAUCUUCAUGUUUGAAAUACAAUGCAGAAAUCUUUGUUCCUAGGCUCUGCCAUCACACACACACACAUCUGCUGGUACAAUCCUGGACAUAGGAUUUCGUUUUGUGUUUUGUAUAAUGGGGCCAUAGAGUAGGAAUCUCAAAUUUCCUUUCAAGUCUGAGGUUCUGGGAUAAACAAAAGAGCUUGAUCUUAUUUAAAGCUGAGUGCAAGAAACUGCAUCACAAGCUGGUUAAUAACACUCAGCAUGUCCUGUGUGCUGAAUUCUGUAUUACCUAGGAAUGCCAUCAGAGAGAUUCCUCAUAAAUUUGUAGCAUAAUCAUUGCGCUCAGCCAGCAGAUGACCUGAAGAGCAAAAGGACAUCAAGAAGGGCUGUGACAUUUCAGGCAUGUGUCCCUUUCCUCAUCUGAGGCAGUUAUUGUCUAGAAAUGUCAGGUUGUAUUGCUUAAUGGUGUACAUUUAUUUGACCUUUGCACUGUCACUUCCAGUCACAAAAGUUAUAGUAGGAAAAAUACAGCAGUCAUAAAAAGUCAUAGAGGAAAGCAUCAAAUUUUACUACAGUGUAUGAAUGGGGUACUUAAAACAUGAAUUUCAAGUAUCCUUGGUCUGAUUAGGUAUAAUAAAUUCUAGGACAGCAUAAUGAUUAAUAUUUUCCAAGGAUUUAAAAAAUUCCUCUUAGGUAGGUAAAAGAAUUAUUUUAAGUAUAGAAUGGUCCAAAUUGUAGAAAGAAUAGACUCUUCUCUUGUUAAUGUUCUAUGUAUCACUUUUUCCUCUAAUGCAUAUCUGAUAUGAAACAGAGUAUGUUAUAUAUUAUUUUUAGGGUUAUUUAAUACCAGUUAAGCCAAGAAGUUUCGUAGACUCUGGAGAGGGGGCCAAGUUACUCAUUUCCUUUAGGCAUACUUGGAGCUCAUUCUAACAUCAUUUGCUAUAAUUGUAUACUUUAAAAUUAAUUUCAAGUUCAAAGUUCUCUUUCUCUUUUAGAUAGAGAGGUUUUAUUUAUUUUUGAUAUGAUCAGUGUGUAGGGUUGCCAGGUUUGGCAAACGAAAAUACAGGAUAUCCAGUUCAAUGUGAAUUUAAGAUAAACAAAAAAUCAUUUAUUUAUUUUUUUAUAGACUUGUCCUAAAUAAGUCAUGGGACAUACCUAUACUAAAAUAUUCUUCAUUAACUGGGUGUCCUGUAUUUUAUCUGGCAAUCUUAUCUGGAUGAUAGAUUGCAAAAAUGGCCACAAUCCUUUGCCUCUAUAUCCACACCUUUUGCAAUGUGACUUUGCAAUCUUCCCAUUAAGAUGUGGAUUUUAUUUCUCCACCCCUUGCAAAUAAGCUGGUCAUGUGACUUGGCUAGUAGAAUGUGGCAGAAGUAAUUAUGUGCUAAUUCUGAGCCUAUACAUCAAGAGCGGCGAUCACUUCUGCUUUCUCCCUCUUGGAACUCUGUGCAGCCUCCAGGCCCAGCCUAGCAUUUUGGAGGAUGGGAGACCACAUGCAUUAGAGACAAGCUGUCCCAUCUGAGACUUACUAGACCAGCAUCUCCCAGCCGAUCCAGCAACUGACUCCAGAGCAUGAAUUAGCCCAGCUAAGACCACAAGAGCCACCAGCUGAACCUAGCCCCAAAUGGCAAACUACAUAGAGAAUCAUGAUUGUUAUUUUAAGUCCUUAAAUUUUAGUUAGAAAACUGGAGUUUCCAUUGUGGCUCAGCAGGUUAAGGAUAUAAUAUUGUCUCUGUGAGGAUGUGGGUUUGAUUCCUGGCCUUGCUCAGUGAGUUAAGGCUCCUAUGUUGCCACAAGCUAUGGCGUAGGUUGAAGAUAGGGCUCCAAUCCAGUGUUGCUGUGACUGUGGUGUAGGCCCCAGUUGCUGCUCUUCAGCAGAAAAUUCCAUAUGCCAUGGGUGUUGCUGUAAAAAGAAAACAAAACAAAACCAACUUAAUACAGCCUGACAAUGUAAAGCGGAACUGGGCAUUUUUUAAGACUAGAGAACACUCAUAGGUUGAUCUGAGUUUUGAGGGCUACUGAUGAAAGUGAUGUAAAAGGUAAUUUUAUAAUAAAUUUUCAGAAAGUAACACCUGGUGAUGACUUCAAGGAAUUAGAGGAAAUUGCUUAUUGAAUUAACACAUGGUUCCACAGGGGAAAAAAAAUUCACUUCUGUAAAGUGAUGACUUAAAAAAAACUUUUUUUUAGUAUAGUUGAUAUACAAUGUUCUGUCAAUUUCUGCUGUACAAUAAACUGAUCCAGUUU